CAGAGAAUGGUUUUACCAACUGACCAGACUUCUGCUUUUAACCACUGUUUGCUUUUCCUGACAGAUCCUACUGUCCUGCCUAUGGAAACUACUUAUUCAUGACUGCUGCAGUAAUGUGUAGGAUCAGCCUGGUCCUGGGCCCCCCUCUAACUGUGCUGCUCUACUUGCAGAACUACUGCAUCAUCCACUGCUAGAGGGACUCGGCUUGGAGACUGCUUGUCCUGCCCAGAACCUAAUUGCCCUCUACUUUCUGCCUUCUUUUCUACACAAAACAUAGCAAUACAACCUCAGCUUUGAAAUACUCCUUAAUAUGUGAGAGUCUACGGAGGCUGUAAAACUCCUAUCUCAUUACAGAGAGAAAAAUGAAGAAUUUCAGGUUGUUGUCUAUCCAUAGUGAAAAUGUGUCUGUCCUGGAUCAGCUCUUUGGACCAUUGUUAUGACAAUGGACAGAGGCCUCCUCAGACACUUCCUCUUCUGCCUUGGCUUUCUUAAUACCUUCUCUCUUUUGAUUUGAUAUCCUCUUCUUCUUGGGAAGGAGGGAUUUCAUGUGGGACUGGGCUAAAAGGAAUUUUAAUGGUUCACUAAUUCCAGUAUCCUGCAAAAGGUAUUGAGUCACUUCACAAAAUGUCUCUUGGUGCCCUCUCCGUGACCAGGACACUCCAUGCAAAGUCCAGACAAAUGACUCCACUGAGUGGCCACAGGCCAUGAACUGGAGCACCAUGGGUUACACCAGGGAACAGCACCCUCGAGAGCCUCCAUGUGUGCUUUGAUAAAAAAGCAAGGCUCCCAUCCAGAGGUGUGUUCCAGGAGCUGGCUAAGUAAGCUGUACAGCAGAUCUCCUGUGCAAUUGCUCUGCCUGCCUGGAGUCAUUCCCUGCUGGCCACACAGUCCCAGGCCACCUUUGCUGAGGAUGGCAAACACCAACACCUCUAGGUGGUAGAUGGGUUUGCUCAUGUGUGCUCGACAUCUGCUGAAAGGAACUCAACCAAGACAAACAUGCUGGUGGCCUCGUUCUUCUGGUACCUGACCCGUCCAGGCUGUGCACGCCUUUGCCAUGGGAGUCUCUGUUCCAGCACAGAACCAACACCAUCCAUCACAGCACUGGAAGUCUUCCAGGAUUACUCACAGGUGGUUCAAAUUUUGUCUUGGAGUCAAAACUUGCCUUGAGAUUUGUCUCCAAGGCAAGAUUUGAACUAUCUGUGAGUAAUACUGUGAGACUUGAAGGCACCAGUGGCCAAAAGCUGUUUUCUUGCAGAGUUCCUCAGCAAGGACAAGGUGCAUCAUUCCUGCCAGGCACCUGGCCAGGAGGGCUGUCACCAGGAGUCGGGACCUCUGCUAAGGCCAGCAGCAAGGGGAGCAGCGUGGUCCGGAAACACAAGAGGAGAAGGACAAAAUGCCAAGGAAAUGACAUAAGAACUUGUCUUUGCACAACAGGGAACCAGGCUUGGGGAAGGAAGCAACCUUCAAACAUCUCACCGUGCUUUGGUAACACAAGCUGUACUCAAAGACUCCACACUGGUGACGUUGCAAGUACCACACAACAUUUGUUUUUCUGGGUGGUAAAUUGAAUGGACGUGUCCUGAAGGCUGUGAGGGUUGUGCUGUACAGACUGGUUUGGCUGGGUUGGUGCUUUACUGUGGUUGAUAGAUUUUUAUCAGAUGCUUUUACUUGUUAAAUUUUCCUCGGUUGUGGGAACAAUUCAGCAAAUAGUAAAAAUGAUGGAGCACCAGGAGACAUGCAGCCAAGGAGAUCAUUUGUUUGGCUGGAUCCCUUCCUGCACAAGGGAGGCUUUGUGUGAGCUCACAGAAGAGCCGUGUUCAUCUUGCUGUGGGCAGAACUGGCAGCAGGCUUCAGGCUUUGUCUCCAUGCAGAGUCAGGCUGGCUUGGUUCUCCACAGAGCCGAAAACUCAUUAUUUCCGAGGUUACGGCCAGGCUGCUGGGAGGCUACAGCUCCUUGUGAGAAGUGCCUGUCUCCCAGCAGCAUUGGCAAGGAGGCAGCCAGGCCUUUGCACAAAGGAAGAGGUUUGUGCUGGUCUCAGAAAGGAAUUCCAUGCUGCCUGUGAGAGCUGCCAUGGGGGUCGUGCUUCUUUGGCAGUGCUGACCUCCUCGGAGAGCUGCAAAGCUGGGGAAACCCAUGGCCUGUGGGUCAAGGAUACGGGCUGGUCAUGGUUCCACCAGCACCUGGUCUCCAAGGUGAACUGCUCUGACUCUGCUUUGUCACAAUCUGGCUGUAAAACUGGGGGAACAGUAGCACCCGUCCUGAAGGCAGCUGUCCCUACAGGCAUGCCUAGUUUUAGGAGCUUUGUAAGGGUGUGGAGAAUCAUUUCUCAUGAUGUGGCCAGUGAUGCUUCACCACAGCUUUUUUGGGGAUGAGGGAUGCAAGUCAAUCUGAUCAUAUAUACAUGAGAAAAAUCAAUGCCCUGGCAAAACCAGUCCUAUUUCUGGCUAGAACAUGUCAAAACUCAUCUUCAAAAUGCAUCUUGAGUCAUAACCACAUCCAGUUCAUUGGAGGAACCUCACUCCCUGGCCUUGUUGGGUGCAGGGAUAACAUCCUUCAUCUGCGAUCUUCACCACAUACGGAACUCAACACCAGAAACUGAGUGGUUUGGGAUGAAGAGGAAGGAACAGCAUGCAUGGGGCAUAGCCUGGAGUUCAUCUUUGCAUGCAAGGUGGGAUGGGGAUCCCAUGAAAAAGUUGAACAUGCGGAAAUGAAUUAAAAGCUGUCUUCAAAGCAGUGCUUGUGUGUGUUGGCUGACUAAGAUUGCAAGGAUAACUCUAACACCAGGUCUCCACACCAGGCCAUGGCUGCGAUGCCUCAGCCUGACACAGGCCAUGUUUCAGUCGGUUAAGGAGAGGCAGCUGAGUGACCCAGCAGAGCCAUGAUGGGAUGGUGGGCAAGGAUGGUAUCACUGGACAGCCAAGAGGUUUUGAAGAUGCAAAAUAUAGAGUGCAGAUUUUUAAGGUGUUUAUAGCUCUAUCCAGCCACAGACAGCUUUUCAAAGAUCAGCAAGAGACCUAGCACAUCUCUGCCAGAAAAUUUGUCCCUUGCUAAACAACAGACUCCAGAGAUCUUGUCUUCAGAUAGGGUGAUGUUUUAAUGGCUGAACAAAUAUUUUCCUUGACUUUGCUCUGGGAAACAGCUGGGCUGUUAUGGGCAGAUUUGGGGAAAAAAAAUAAUAAUAAUAAAACCAGCUCUCUAGCAUUUCAGUGAAAGUAGGUAAAGCUUGGCAAACUUCCCAUAACUGCAAACUGGGUUUUUGCUGUGGGCAGUGCUGGGCAGCAUUAGAAGGCAGCAGGCAGCCGUGGUGCCCAGAGCUGGGCAGCCCAGGUGCCAGCUGGAGGAGCUGGCAGCACACUGGCCAGCUUUCCUGCCAGGAAUCAGCCUGGCAAGCCAGUUCAAUAGCCUGCCUGUGUCCCACUGGAAAGCAUCAAGGAAGAUGUCACCAGUGAUGAUAUUGCUGACAACUCAGUGGACUCUACCAGGAAAAUUAUCCAUCAGAAAAAGAAAAAAUAAAAAAUUGCCAACUCUAUGCUUGAGCAUCUCUGCCCAAAUAGUAACACCCUGUGGAAGACAAAUUCCCUUUUAGCACAGGAUUUUGCUGUGGUCCCAUGCAGAAUUUGCCAUGAGAGAUGAACAUCUCAGCUGUGUAGCAGGGCAGCUCCAGCCACCUCACUCUGCAAAACAGCCACCUGCACAUCCGGGCGUCACGGCGCCACUUCAACCGGUGACUCAGGCGCUGGCCUUUGCAUAUCUGCCAUGAACUCCAGUUUAUGCAGGGCCUGACUGCUUUGCUUAUGCAUUUCUACAUCUCCAGAUCCUAGGAGAUGAUGUUUGUCUUCCCUCUGCAAACAGAGGGAAGGGCCAAUAAGCUGGGCUCAGGAUGGGGCAGCCUUCCCAAAGUACAGCUGAUCUUCCUCUUGCUUUGUUAAGACAGGUUUAGCAGGAGUGGGUGUCACAUCUGCCUUCUCUCUCCAGGGCUGAGUGCCCCAGAAGAGCAAGCAUCAUGAACACAUCCUCCUUAUUUUCCAAAGAUCCUGUGAAACUCCUGCCUGGUCUGCAUUCAGUCAGGACUCAAAGUAUGAAAUGAUAAAGUCCUCUUGGGUUUUUUCAUCAUUCAGUCUCAGGCACACAGAAAGCUCACUAGGUUUUGCAGUGUCUGGUUGAAUCCACAUGCUUAUCUUUGCAGGGAUACUUUGGAGUCAAGGCUGAUUUCUACCUGAGCCUAAGUUGAUGUUUUGAGGCCAGCCAUAAGCAGCCCCAUGUCCCAGGCUCUGCUCUGUCACCUCAGGCUGGUGGCUGCUGCUGAGACCUGGCUGCACCCAGCCCACAUGGGCUUGAGGAAGAGCUGGGGUUGGCAGCUCCCCUAGGACUCAGGGAAGUGAGAUGGAUUGAAAACUGGCCCAGAAUGUGGUGAUUAGCAGUACAAACUCUAGCUGGAGGCCAGUCACUAGCACAGUAUCUCAGGGGUCAAAACCACAUCCAGAUCUGUUGGGAAGUAUCUUUUCUGAAAAGGAUCUGGAGAUCUUAGCAGGCACCACACUGAACAUUAGCCACAGAGAAGACUAAGGGUGUCCUGGGUUGCCUUAGUCAAAUUCCCCUGUGCUCAGCCAUGGUGGAUCAGCCCUAAAGCCUUGUGUCCAGUGCUGGGCUUCUCAGUGCCAGGGAGAUAGGGACACAGUGGGGAGAGGCCAGUGAAGGUACACGAAGGUGAGUGAAGGACUGAGAGAGGGUGCAAAGCAGAGGGAGCCAGGCUCUUCCCAACGGUGCCCAGUGCCAGGACCAGAGGCCACGGGCACACGCUGGAACACAGGAGGGUCCCUCUGAACUUGGGGAAACACUUUUUCAUCGUGAGUAGGACCAAGCACUGGCACAGCUGGCCGCGGACGUUGUGGAGGCUCCAUCCUUAGAGAUGUCCAGCAGCUGUCUGGACACGAGCCUGGACAGCCAGCCCUGGGUGACCCUGCUGCGGCAGGGCUUGGAGAAGAUGGCCUCCGGAGGUGCCUCACCUCAGCCCGCUGUGGCUCUGUGAGCUCCUCCAGAGGAACAUGGAGCCUUUUGUUCACCCCAGGUUCCACCUUGGGGCUGGCAAGACGUGAUGGGGUGACAGGAAUAACGAGGUGACUGCAGGUGGCGAUGCGGUGACAGUGUAACAGGGCUGUGACCAGGCCGAAGUGGGGUCGUGAGGGUGGCAGAGGUGACGGUGUCUGCAGCGGUGUGAGGGUGUCAGGGUGUGGCGGGCGUGUGACAGGCUGCGAUGGCGCGGGCAGGAGGAGGCUGGGUGGGUGACUCGGCUGCAGAGGGGUGUCAGGGUGUGGCGGGGCGGUGGCACGGCACAGGAGGCAGGCCACGGGGAGGUU